rnacentral:rRNA from 1 species
UAAUUAUCUCCUUAUUUAGUUUAUUUGUUUAUAGAUUUAAUUUUAAUAAAAUCAUUUUUAUUUUAUGUAGUUUUUGUAUAGGAUAUAGAUAAAAUUUUUAUAAUUAUAGUGUAAUUGUAUUGUGAAAGAUUGGUGAAAUAUUUUGAUAAGUUAUUUUUUUAAAAGUAGAUUUUAUUUUUUGUACCUUUUGUAUCAGGGUUUAUUAAAACAAUUAUCUUAUAUUAGUUUUUCCCGAUUUGAAGAGAGCUAAUCAUUUAUGGUAGUUACUGUGGAAUAAUUAUUUUUAAUUUAUGGUUAGUAAUGAAACGUUAUCCGUUCUUUAAGAUAUCUGGUUUUCUAAGAGAUGAAUUUAAUUCAGGAUUAAUUUUUAUGUGAAUUCAAUUGUGUUGAUUAAACAUUUAAUUAAUCUAAUAGUUUGGGGGAUAAGCUCCUAAUUAUUUUUAUAAAAGGAAAAAUUUAUUUGAGUUCUAUAGGCUUAGAAUUUGCCAUUAGUUAAAGUAUGUUAUAAUUUAUUUCAAGUAUUAUUCAAUUUUCUUUUUUUUUAAUUAUUUUAUUAGAAUAUAGUUUUUAAUUUUAAAUUAUUAGUGAUAAUGAUAAAAUUAGUAUAAUAUUUAAAUUGUAAAUUUUUUAAAAAUCGUUAGGUUAUAUUAAGGAAUUCGGCAAAUUAAUGCUCGCCUGUUUAACAAAAACAUGUCCUCUCGAUAAUUAUUUGAGGUCUGGCCUGCCCACUGAGUUUAACUUAAAGGGCCGCGGUAUUUUGACCGUGCAAAGGUAGCAUAAUCAUUAGUCUUUUAAUUGAAGGCUAGAAUGAAUGGUUGGACGAGGUAUUGACUGUCUCAGUAUAAAUGAAGUUAGAAUUUAACUUUUAAGUGAAAAGGCUUAAAUGUGUUUAGAGGACGAGAAGACCCUAUAGAGCUUUAUAAUUAGUCUUUAUAAUUUGUUUGGAUAAUUUUUUAUUAUAAAGUUAUAAUUAUUUUGUUGGGGUGACAGGAAGAUUAGUAAAACUCUUUUUAGAUUAAAAACAUUGAUUUAUGGUUUGUUGAUCCAUUAUUAGUGAUUAUAAGACUAAGUUACCUUAGGGAUAACAGCGUAAUCUUUUUUGAGAGUUCUUAUCGACAAAAAGGGUUGCGACCUCGAUGUUGGAUUAAGGUUAAUUUUGGGUGUAGAUGUUCAAAAUUUAGGUCUGUUCGACCUUUAAAACCUUACAUGAUCUGAGUUCAGACCGGUGUAAGCCAGGUCGGUUUCUAUCCUUAAUUUAUUUUAAUGUUUUAGUACGAAAGGACCAGGCAUUAGGAAUAAUUUUCUUGAUUAUUUGAUUAAUAGUAAAUGGUAA